rnacentral:rRNA from 1 species
UACGGAGGAUCCGAGCGUUAUCCGGAUUUAUUGGGUUUAAAGGGAGCGUAGGUGGAUUGUUAAGUCAGUUGUGAAAGUUUGCGGCUCAACCGUAAAAUUGCAGUUGAAACUGGCAGUCUUGAGUACAGUAGAGGUGGGCGGAAUUCGUGGUGUAGCGAUGAAAUGCUUAGAUAUCACGAAGAACUCCGAUUGCGAAGGCAGCUCACUGGACUGCAACUGACACUGAGGCUCGAAAGUGUGGGUAUCAAACAGG